rnacentral:tRNA from 1 species
AUUUGAAUAGUUUAAUUUAAAAUAUUGAUUUGUGGAGUCAAAGAUAUACUUUGUGUUUUAAAUA